CAGCAGACGGGUGCGGUAGGCGCUCGGGCUUCCCAUCAGCCCGGCAAUUUGGAAGCAGGUUUCCCUCGCCCCUUCCUGGAAGGCGUGGCCCCAUUUGCAAGUUGUACAUCUGUUCUCUUCACGUGACAUUUCAUAAAAGCCCUAACAUCUGGGCAAGAUAAACUUCCUUCAGAUGCAGGGAAAACCGCCUGACAUCAUGAGAGCGGGACAAACGCUCACUUUGAAGGGUUCCUGGGCAGGACUUCAAGUGAAAUCAUAUGCCUGAGAAGAACUUGAUACCGGUCUAGAGAAAAUAACCAGUUCUGAGUUUGCCAAACCGUGGAAUGUGCAAAAUGCUCGACUUUUUUGCAAGAGGCCAAGUGUCCCUUAAAAAGCUCCAUUAUGAACAUGAGCCUGAAGACCGAAGGAAGGAGCAAGAAGCUUGUGCCGUUGUUGGGGGGCAAAGUGCACCUAUUGUGUGAGUUUCUGCUAUUUAACGUUAGGUUAUAACGUGUCCCACCAUGAGAAAGCUACCUGCAACUGUGCAUGAAUUCUCAUCGGUGCAUGUGCUGAGCCAGUGUGUGCACAAAGAGGGGAAAUGUGUGUGUGUGGUAACAAAAACUUGCUGCUUUCUUAUGACUGAAGGCUAUCAAUCCAACUACAUUAAGAGCAAGAGUUUUCAAAAAUUAUGUGCCUAGUACAGGAAACAGUCUUCCUCAGUUGUUUAGAAUUCACCCAAGACAAUUCAAUACAAUACUUUCCCUCCAGUGAAUACAUUCUGGCUGAAGGGUUAAUUUAAGACUCCAGAUCCAGCCACCACAUGAAAUUCUCACUUCUGAAACAGAGGUAAAUCAUUCUAAGUGUCCUUUAAAUAAGAAGAGGUAGCAAAAAUAAAAUGGAACAGAAAAUAAUGGUAGAGAGAAAAAAAACAGGUGGCUUUAUUUCUAUUCUAAAAAAGAAUUAGC